CGAAGAAAUCCGCUCAAACUCCUCGCCACGGGGGUGGGGUGGGAACUGGGGGCCACGCACCUUCGGGCUGUGCCCGGGGGGGGCCGGCUGGCGGGGGGGGGGGGGCUUGCUGAACCAGUACCAUAGAGACCUCUUUGGCCUUAUCUCGUCUCCAGCAGCCCUGGGGAGGGGAGAGGCGCUGAGAUUCCUGCCCGAUAAGAUGCUCGCCUGCAGCUCGCCCCUUGCAAAACUGCUCGCAUUCCUGCCCAACUCCCACGGAAGAAGGGGGGGGGGGGGGGGGGGGGGGGGGGGAGAGGCUAAUUUUAGUUUGCAAUUCUGCGAACCAAAUAAAAAACAAUGAUAACAACAAAUAAAAUAAUAAAUAAAUAAAUAAUAUAGAAGGAGAGCCGGGGAAAAAGUGUGAGCAAGGCAAAACUUACGGAGGUCGCCGGGGGAUGCUCGGGGUCCGCGCUCCGCCUGGAGCCCCGCCGCCGCCGCGCUCCGCACUAAGCGCCUGUCCCACUGUCCCAGCAUUAAACAGCUCUAGCAGCUGCGAUGGUGGACAGUUAAGAUUAUAUAUGAUGUAAAUAUAUUGUGGGUUUGUCAGCUCCCCCAAACCAUAAAACUUAGUUUAAUGACAUCACGUGCUCCCUGAGAGCCAUUCAGGGCUUUUGCUUAGGGCCAUCCACAUAAAUAACCUUCAAAAGUUUUAAACUACUAAAUUCACAUAGAAGCCAUGAGUAUUUCUGCUAAUGUUCUCAUGUUCUCGGUGAAAGUAAAAGAGCUUUGCUUUUUUUAAAAAAGUCCUGGAUUUAUAUAAAAAAAAUGCAACUUUGGUUUGUUUGUUGUUUUUGGGCCAUUUUAAGUUCUCACUGGGUUGACACGGAUGACGGGGCAAGGUGCUCGGGGGCUGUUGUAUCCGAGACCUGUGUGAUAACCGUGUGACUAGGAGUCGAGAAAGUUAAGUGUUUUAUUACUUCUCUAAACAGAGGGCAAGUCUUAAAAGUCUGGUCGAUUUAUAGUGAACAGAAACCAGCUGCCGUAAAGAAACUUAAAAUAGAAUCCUCUCCCCACGUUAAAAAUCAGGUUUCUGGGUAGAAAAGAGAGACACAGAGAGGAGAGGGUAGGAAGAAAAAAAAAAAAAAAAAAAAAAAAAAAAGCACAGCCACCCCAAAAAGCUCCUGCAAAUACAAAUGAGGCAACAUUAAAGUAUGUUUUGCUCACUGCAAUUCCUCAGUCUCACGUUUUGAAUGCACUGGAUAUUUUUUUCCCAUUGAUAUUUGCUAGCAGUUUGGGGAUUUCUCGAAAGUAUUUCAUCAAGAUAUGUCACUACCAAAAAGGUAUUUAUUUUUUCCCCCAUGAAAACAUGUACAGGGAAUAUGUGGGGCGCUUUCUGGUUAAAUUGGUCUGCAAACAAUUAUGUAAACUCAUCAGCAGAAGCAAGAACAGAUGUUUUAUUAAAAGUGCUACACAGCAGUAGAAAUAUGUACAAGUCUUCGAGUAGCUCUUUAAUAGGAGUUGCUCUUUGUUCCCAGAAAAGAAAAGCGCCCAUAGAAAUCUGAAAUAACAUUCACCACUCAUAAGCCAUAUUCCCCCCUUUUUUUCCCCCUUCUCCCCACUCUGAUGUUCACACAGAGAGGGAGGGGAGAGGGAAAGGAGGGGGGGGGGAGAAAGAAAAAAUAUGUGUCGGGAGAUUUCCUCCCCCCUCCCAGCUAUAAUUAGCGAAUUGAUGAACUGAUUUAGAAAAAGGCUUCAAAAAAAUGCAAGCCCAACACAUGUGUUUUCUAUCCCUCAGUAAUUACUGAAAGGAAACAAAUCCAAAUCGGUGUCCCCCCCUCCCUCCUUAAACAGCCUACAGCCUUAAUAAACCGCUACUGUCAGGCUCGCAUUCUGCGCAGCCCUGCGAGCCGCGGGUUGUUUGUUUGAAGAGGGGCUGGGUGGGAUUUGCUGUUUUGUUCCAGCCACGUUGACCACUUGGGUCCGAGCCCGGCCUGGGGAGCAGCCGGGUCCGUCCCCCCCCCCCCCCCCGCGGCCAUGCCAUGCCCGGGGACCGGGACACGCCGGGGCCACCGAGCCCCAACGUGCCCCCCCCUCUCCGGAGCAAAAAAAGAAUCCCAAUGGUACAAGCAGGGUGCGUGUGGGGGGGUUGUUAUGCCAAGUGCUUGCAAAACGCCUCUUUUUGAGAUGCGGGCGGGCGGGGGGGGCACCCCUGUGCUGCAGAGGGGCGAUGUCCCCCCCCCCAGAUGUGCCCACAGCCCUGAGUGUGCAAGGCGCACACGCGCGUACACGCCACUGACAUCUGGCCAUAAGGCUGCGUGCUCACAUCUGAUUAAAUACUUGAAGCUCUUAGAGGUAAAUACAAGUGAUGCCAUUAAAAGCCUUUUUAUUUAAACUGAUUUCACCUUGUAUAUGUUAUCUCUUCCUUCCCCCCCUUCCCUUUGCUUCCCCCCCCCCCUUUUUUUUUUAACUUGACAUUUAUGGCACACGUGAGUCCUAAUUAUUUAUUUGGGUCUUUCGCUGGGAAUUUAUUCCUGCUCUUUACAACAGGGCUUUCCUAGUCAAAUAUUGCUUUUGCUGUAAAUAACGC